GCCACCCAUCACUGCCUGUCUCAGUCCCUAACUCUAGCUGCCGUUCCAUCCUUAUCCCUUUCUCCUCUCUAAGAUCUAACCCAUGGCGGCCUGGCCGUCGAAGUAUGCUGUCGUAGAGAUAGGAUAGCUGUGUUGGAGAGCGGGUCAAGAAGAUGGAACUCGUGCAGUGGUGGCCGGGCACGUACUCGGAGUGUGUAUUGUGCGCCGCCGUUGUGGCGGGGAGUGGGCGGUCAAGUGCUCAGGGCACCUGCGGCCAUGGACAGGAUGCUUGGGUGGCUGAAAGCAUGCACGCAUGAUGCCAGCGAGGUCACUAUGCCAAACCUCAGCCUCAAGGUCGAUGUGUAGAGCUGAAGGGCCAAGGAGAGAGGGCCGCGCCGGCGUGGCCGGUCGUCGUCGGAUGUGACAGUCGUUGCAUGGUGCGGCGUCGUUGCGAGCAAUAGCAAGACGUCAUCUUGUUUGUGAGGCCGAAGAAGAGAAAAGCGGCGUUGGAGCUGGACAUGGGCAGUCGCCGGUAGGCAUCAGCAGGCCAAAUCUACUCGGAUGUGAUGUCACCGAAGCAUGAGGUGUGGAUGACCAAAACAUGCAACAGCCAAAACUAAACCAAUUCAGAAGUGUGGCACCUAGGACCUGGAUAUCAAUGGCGACGAGGAGCAGGUGUUGGCCGUCGCUUGUCCAGGUAGUGAGACACAUGUGUCUUGUACAAAUCUAUUCAUGGAAGGUUGCGAAAGUGGUGAGAUUGCUUGGUCAAGAGUACUAUCUCAUCAGGCUCCUUGGAUCCUCCCAAGAAUUGAGGGUACACACAUCCAAUCUUAGGACAA